rnacentral:rRNA from 1 species
AGAGCGAACGCUGGCGGCAGGCCUAACACAUGCAAGUCGAACGGACCCUUCGGGGUUAGUGGCGGACGGGUGAGUAACACGUGGGAACGUGCCUUUAGGUUCGGAAUAGCUCCUGGAAACGGGUGGUAAUGCCGAAUGUGCCCUUCGGGGGAAAGAUUUAUCGCCUUUAGAGCGGCCCGCGUCUGAUUAGCUUGUUGGUGAGGUAAUGGCUCACCAAGGCUACGAUCAGUAGCUGGUCUGAGAGGAUGACCAGCCACAUUGGGACUGAGACACGGCCCAAACUCCUACGGGAGGCAGCAGUGGGGAAUCUUGCGCAAUGGGCGAAAGCCUGACGCAAGCCAU